UCAAGCUAAUAAGGGCGCAAGGGGAAUGCCUUGGCAUUGGAAGCCGAUGAAGGACGUAGCGAUCUACGAAAAGCCACGGGGAGGCGAAAGCAGCCCUCGAUCCGUGGAUAUCCGAAUGGGGAAACCCGGCAGAGCAAUACUCUGUCAACCUCUUGUGAAUAAAAUAGCAAGUCGUGGGGAACCGCCUGAACUGAAACAUCUAAGUAGGGCGAGGAAAAGACAUCAACCGAGAUUCCGUAAGUAGUGGCGAGCGAACGCGGAAGAGGCCAAACCAAGAGUAGUAAUACUUUUGGGGUUCGGACUGCAACAUGUACUGGUAAGGUUAGUAGAAUGAGAUGGGAAGCUCAACCAUAGAGUGUGAGAGUCACGUACACGAAAACCGAGUCAGGCUAGCAGGAUCCAGAGUACCGCCGGACACGUGAAACCCGGUGGGAAUACGGGGGGACCACCCUCCAAGCCUAAAUACUCUCCAAUGACCGAUAGUGAAUAGUACUGUGAAGGAAAGGUGAAAAGAACCCCUGGCGGGGAGUGAAAUAGAACCUGAAACCUUGUGCCUACAAGCACAUAGAGCACAUCAACGUGUAAUAUGGUACCUUUUGUAGAAUGGUCCGGCGAGUGAAUGUCACUAGCGAGGUUAAGGACUUAAGGUCUGAAGCCGAAGCGAAAGCGAGUCUUAAUAGGGCGAUAAUAGUUAGUGGUAUUCGACCCGAAACCGAGUGACCUAGCCAUGAGCAGGCUGAAGUGGAGGUAAAACUCCAUGGAGGGCCGAACCCACUCCCGUUGAAAUGGUAGGGGAUGACUUGUGGCUAGCGGAGAAAUUCCAAUCGAACUCGGAGAUAGCUGGUUCUCUCCGAAAUAGCUUUAGGGCUAGCCUCAAUAUACAUUACCGCAGGUAAAGCACUGAAUGGGCUAGGGGGCGAAAGCUUACUGAACCCUAUCAAACUAAGAAUGGCGGAUAAUGAAAUAUUGGGAGUCACACUACGUGAGAUAAGUUUCGUGGUGGAAAGGGAAACAGCCCAGACCCACAGCUAAGGUCCCAAAGUACGGUUAAGUGGAAAAGGAUGUGGAAUUGCACAGACAACCAGGAUGUUGGCUCAGAAGCAGCCAUUCAUUCAAAGAGUGCGUAAUAGCUCACUGGUCGAGUGACUCUGCGCCGAAGAUUUAACGGGGCUAAAUCGUACACCGAAGCUUGGGAAUAUAUCGUAUGGUAUGUUGGUAGGAGAGCAUCGUAUGCGGGGUGAAGUCGUAGCGAAAGCGGCGGUGGACUGCAUAGGAGUGAGAAUGCCGGAAUGAGUAGCGAGAAUUAUGUGAGAAUCAUAAUGGCCGAAAGACUAAGGUUUUAGAAGGAAGGUUCGUCCGCUUCUAGUUAGCCGGGAGCUAAGGCGAGGCCGAGAGGCGUAGUCGAUGCACAUACGGUUGAGAAUCCGUAGCCACCUACGAUUUAAACUAAAGGACACAUCAAAAGGGCAUGACCCGGGCGUUGGUUGACCCGGGCGUAAGGGACCGAAAAUAAGUAGGGAAGCAUGCUUGGCUGGUGGCGAGAAAAGUUUAGUGUAUAUAAUGUAGGUGCCCGUACUGUAAACCGACACAGGUAGUCAGGAAGAGAAUUCUAAGGCCAUCGGGAGAAGCGUUGUUAAGGAACUCGGCAAAUUGAACCCGUAACUUCGGAAUAAGGGUUGCUCACGAGAGUGAGCCGCAGUGAAAAGGUCCAGGCAACUGUUUAUCAAAAACACAGCUCUCUGCUAAAUCGUAAGAUGACGUAUAGGGGGUGACACCUGCCCGGUGCUGGAAGGUUAAGAGGAUGGGUGCAAGCUCAGAAUUGAAGCCCCAGUAAACGGCGGCCGUAACUAUAACGGUCCUAAGGUAGCGAAAUUCCUUGUCGGGU
rnacentral:rRNA from 1 species